GCUGGAUCUGGUGGGUCUUGUUUUAAAUACAGCUGGCCUUUGUAGCACAUCUUAUCAAGGCAUUUCUAAGGUGCAUGUUGCCAUAACUGAAUAAUGUAGGAUGCCGAGCGGGCAUCCGCACUAAGGCCGGCAUCAAUAUGGUGAGCCCUGGGGAGCUGGGGGAACACCAGGUUGACUAAGGAGGGCUGAACCGGCCCAGGUUGGAGACGGAGCAGGUCAAAGCUCCUGUGCCGGUCAGUAGCGGGAUCAUGCCUGUGAAUAGUCACUGCAGCGUAGCCUGGGCAACACAGAGAGACGCAGGUU
rnacentral:SRP_RNA from 1 species